GGAAUCUUCCACAAUGGGCGCAAGCCUGAUGGAGCAACACCGCGUGAGUGAAGAAGGGUUUCGGCUCGUAAAGCUCUGUUGUUAGAGAAGAACGUGCGUGAGAGCAAUUGUUCACGCAGUGACGGUAUCUAACCAGAAAGUCACGGCUAACUACGUGCCAGCAGCCGCGGUAAUACGUAGGUGGCAAGCGUUAUCCGGAUUUAUUGGGCGUAAAGCGAGCGCAGGCGGUUUUUUAAGUCUGAUGUGAAAGCCUUCGGCUUAACCGAAGAAUUGCAUCGGAAACUGGGAAACUUGAGUGUAGAUGAGGACAGUGGAACUCCAUGUGUAGCGGUGGAAUGCGUAGAUAUAUGGAAGAACACCAGUGACGAAGGCGGCUGUCUGGUCUGCAACUGACGCUGAGGCUCGAAAGCAUGGGUAGCGAACA
rnacentral:rRNA from 1 species